rnacentral:lncRNA from 1 species
UCUCCUGCCUUAGCCUCCCAAGUAGCUGGGAUUACAAGCACCUGCCACCAUGCCUGGCUAAUUUUUGUAUUUUUAGUAGAGACGGGGUUUCGCCAUAUUGACCAGGCUUGUCUUGAACUCCUGACCUCAGGUGAUCCACACUCCUCAGCCUACCUAAGUGCUGGGAUUUUACAAGUGUGAGCCACUGCGCCCAACGUUGAGCUUGUUUCUUUAUGAAUUCCUGCAACUCAACAUUAAAGACAUAAUAUCCCAUAGUGAUUAAUAUAUCCAAUAGUCCUUCCUGACUAAAGGUACAAAGUUAAUCCUAGUGUUGUUAAUAAGCAUGGAAGUCAUUAUUUAUUCAGUGUCUUUGGUUCAAGCAUUGUCUUAAACCAAACUGAUUUCCUGCUACAACUGAGUCCUCUAAAAACAGCUUCCUCUAGUGUCCCUAUUUGAAGUAGCAAGUCAUUUUUAUCAUAAUGAUGGGCCUCCUAGAACACUACUUCAAUUAGAUUUAAUAUCACAUGACCAAAUCCUGUAAUUCUUUCAAAAUGCCUGGCAAAGGGGCCAGUGCUGCUUAACUUGCCACUCAUGUAGUUCAUAUUAUGUGCUAAUUAAAUGUGUCUGGUUUGAAAGCAUUGUCUACACCUACAAAUAAUGUGCUUCAUGAAAUUCUCAAUUAGGUAUAUCCUAGCACCAGAUACCGUUUUAUCUGGCUGUGCCAUAGGCUUCCCUUAAAUGUCCUCUACGUACCUCUUGAGGGAGUUAUUUAUAAUUUUAAAGCAUUAAAGGAAACAUAAAAUCACAUUCUCUGAGGCUUUCUAGGUUCUAGUUUUAUAUUAUUUAAAUUAAUUCCAUUUACAUUCACACUGAUAUGUUCAAAGCAACAGACCAGAUCAAGCUGUGACAUACCAGACAGGCAGCCACUAUCUGCUUUCUAUCAUAACCAGGGAGCUGUCUUAGCAAUGUAUCAUUUUGAUUUAUGGCCAUAUAGGGUGCAGAAAUUCUAUUCUACAGCAUCCUCUGCUCUGUACAAUUCAUUGGUAGUUUCUCUGGAAAAAAAUAAUCUAGAAUGGUAAACAAAGCCUAGAAACUGAGUGAUAACUGUAGUCAACUACACACAAGCUGAGUUGUCAGGGGGCACUUUGUCAUCUGUUUUAUUCAAAUUAUACAGGUAGAACAUCCAAAUCAGUAGGAGUCCAAUUUUCCUUUUCUGCAGUAAGCAGGCCAAGAGAUUUUCACCAACAAAGCCCAUUUGUUUGGAUGACAAUAGCAAAAGAUAGUUAAGUAUGAUAUCCUCACUCUGAGCUGUUUGCAUGAAAAUAUUGUAGUGGCUUCCCUCCACGGUAAUGUAAUCUACUUAUAAACACCUUUCCCAUCUGCUAUGAUUUUACCCUAUUUCCAAAUGCUUCCUCCCAAUAUCAGGCUGUAUAACUCAUCAUGCAUAAUGUUUGCCCGCACAAUCAAUAACAAGAACCUUACUAGCACACCCAAACAAAUGUUUGGGUUUUAUUUGUUUGUUUGUUUAACUUUUAUUUUAAGUUCAUGGGUGCAUGUGCAGAUUUGUUACACAGGUAAAC